UACGAAGGGGGCUAGCGUUGUUCGGAAUUACUGGGCGUAAAGCGCGCGCAGGCGGUCUUCCAAGUCAGUGGUGAAAGCCCGGAGCUCAACUCCGGAACUGCCAUUGAAACUGUUAGACUUGAGGAUGAGAGAGGUGAGUGGAAUUCCCAGUGUAGAGGUGAAAUUCGUAGAGAUCGGAAAGAACACCAACGGCGAAAGCACUCUGCUGGGCCGACACUGACACUGAGAGACGAAAGCUAGGGGAGCGAAUGGG
rnacentral:rRNA from 1 species